CUAAAGUCACAUUAGAUUUUAUAUUACAUUUAUUUUACAUCACAUUUUAAAUGUGUACUUCCUUCUUGUCUGGUAAAUAUUUAGAAUAAUGCCAUAAUUAAAUGUCUAGUUUUUAACGAUUACAUUUUAAUUACAACAUUUCUUUUAGUUGCAACGUUAUUCUAGCAUGGCAAUAAUUGUCUAUUUGACUUCCUUGUGUUUCACUAUAAAAAAGUCAUUUUUCAAAUAUAAGCCAUAAGUAUAGUAAAAGUUGAUAACAUCACAAAAAAAUGAAUAAAACAUUAGAAGAGCCAUAUUGUUGGGCUAUUUGGAAUGAAAAUGAAGAUGAAGAUACCUCUGGUGUUAUUCCAUCCAAUUGGUUAGUUCUUGGAAGCCAUACAUUUUGGCCACCUAAUAAUUAUUUCCAAGUCAAACAUGCAUUUCAUGAAAGAAGAGAUCCUGAUCAUUCAUGGAAAAAAUUUACACUAGUUAAGGUUAAGGUCUUUUGGAACAUAUGAGUUCUGUAAUGAAAUGUGCAGUACAGAUGUUGGGUGGUUUUCUACAGGUGGUGAAAGUGUCGCACCAAUAAAAAAAAAUUAAAUAAAAAAACAAAUGACAGUCAAAAUACUCUAUCAUUUCCUUCUCCACCAUCUAGAAUUCAAGAGAAACAAAUAUCGAGUGUGAAAAAGAAUGAAAUAUCACCAAGUGUGAUUGAAAAAAAAUUGGCAAAAUCCAAAAGAGCCUUUUUUUCCAGCUAUGAAACUGAAAAACAAAAAAUAUGCAAACUGAAGAAAAGCAAUAUAUGGUCAGAUGAUGAAGAGGUUCAUUUUGAGAAGACCUCUCAAAGUUCACAAGUCCAAAACUAUUCUGAGAAAGAACAAAUAACUAAUAGUCGGUAUAUAAGAAAAGAUGCAGCUAUGUUGCCAAAUAAAGGGUUUUCCUUUAACUGAGUCAGAAUUUCAAGCAAAAGUAAUGAAAUACUUGAUCAAACAAGAUCAAAGGCUUGAAAGUAUUGAGAAAAUUUUACUUAAUUUAACAUCUUCAACAGUUGGAGUACUAAAGAAGUAUCCCCAGUAUGUGAUUUGACUGAGUUACACAAUUUAGAGAAGAAAAUAGAAGAUGAAGAAGAAUUUAAUAAACUAGUUUUGUUACUCUCUGCUGCUGGGGGUAAAGAUGUUAAAGAUGUUGUGAAGAAUAUUAUGGAAAGGUUUGUUGUUACAGUGCUAUGGACUCACAACCUCUUUAUGUUACUGAUAUUAAAAUGUUAAUAGAAAUAUGUUGUUUUAGUGUGGCUACGUAUGAUGUGUUGCCCAAGUUUAAAUUUCGGGGAACUAAUCGUCUCGAAAAAAAUAAAGAGCCAAGACCAAGUAAAGAAACUUUUAAAAGUCAAACGUACAGCAAAGUUGUGUGCUGUACGUUAUAUAAAUUAUUUUAGUUUUGAAAAGCUUUUUUAUAUUAUAAACUAAGUUCUUAUUUGUUUUAACCCCUUUUAGUAUGCUAUAAGAACUUUCAUUAAUUCAUAUUUAAUUUUUCUUUUGUUAUUUUCUAUAAAUAAGUAGUAAAGUAAUAAAGUUUUUAAUAGUUAUAUAACCAACAAAAUUUAAAAUUUAAAUUUGUUAAAGUUAUUGUCUAAAACGUUUAUCUUUAAUGUCAUUCCUUAUUUUCUCCCAACAUUUUCAAAUGGAGUUAAAACAAAUAAGCUCUCUGGUCGCGAUAUGUUCACAUUAUUAUUUUGGUAUGCAGUUUGAUUAUUGUUUAAGUCAGCGUUUACAAUUGGUAUAAAUUAAAAAUAAAAUAACUGUUUCAAGCAUUUUUUUUUUGCUUCAAGUGCAGCAAUGAAAGAUAGAAAGUUUUUUAAAGAAGACGUAAUAAAGUGUGUAAAAGAAAUUUUACGUUAUGCUCCAGACAAGGCCACAGGUGGAAGGCGGUUUUUUGUAUAAAACUUUAAAAUUAUAAAAGCAUAAAAUGUAAAUUACUUGUUAA